rnacentral:rRNA from 1 species
CUGGAAUGCCCGGUAUCCCAAAGCUCCGGCGCCUUAGGAUGGAUCUGCGGCCGAUUAGGUCGUUGUUGGGGUAACGGCCCAACAAGCCGAUAAUCGGUACGGGUUGUGGGAGCAAGAGCCCGGAGUUGGAUUCUGAGACACGAAUCCAGGCCCUACGGGGCGCAGCAGGCGCGAAAACUUUACAAUGCGGGCAACCGUGAUAAGGGAACCUCGAGUGCCUGUACAUGCAGGCUGUCUGGGUGUCUAAAACACACCCAAAGAAAGGGCCGGGCAAGACCGGUGCCAGCCGCCGCGGUAAUACCGGCGGCUCGAGUGGUGGCCACUUUUAUUGGGCUUAAAGCGUUCGUAGCUGGGUUGUUAAGUCUCUUGGGAAAUCUGGCAGCUUAACUGUCAGGCGUCUAAGAGAUACUGGCAAUCUAGGAACCGGGAGAGGUGAGGGGUACUUCGGGGGUAGGAGUGAAAUCCUGUAAUCCUCGAGGGACCACCUGUGGCGAAGGCGCCUCACCAGAACGGCUUCGACAGUGAGGGACGAAAGCUGGGGGAGCAAACCGGAUUAGAUACCCGGGUAGUCCCAGCCGUAAACGAUGCGCGUUAGGUGUGUCGAUGACCACGAGUCAUCGAGGUGCCGAAGGGAAACCGUGAAACGCGCCGCCUGGGAAGUACGGUCGCAAGGCUGAAACUUAAAGGAAUUGGCGGGGGAGCACCACAACAGGUGGAGCCUGCGGUUUAAUUGGACUCAACGCCGGGAAGCUCACCGGAUAGGACAGCAGAAUGAUUGCCGGGCUGAAGAC